AGGAAGACCGUGCCGGCAAAUAAU
rnacentral:siRNA from 1 species